AACCAAGAAGAUUUAAAGUAAAAAUAUACAUAAUAAUGUGUUUUCUACAUGUUCUUCUAUCUGUUGAGCAACCUAAAAAUUGCUGAAAGAACGCUUUGUCAUUUCUAUAAUUACCCAGGUAAUUAAUACCCAAUUUAGGUACCCAGCACCAUGUAUUACUUAUUUCUACUUCGCCGAUCAUCAUUAUCUUACACCGAUCCAUCGUUCGGUCGUUCAUUACUGAUAUAUGUAUGUUUCGAAAGAGUUUAAAAGAAAAGAAGAUUGCGUUUUAUGAACCAGCCAAAAGAAUAUGUUUUCAACUGGUCUUUUUAUGACUAGUAUCGAGAAUUUAUUUUAUAAAUCCCUUCGAUCUAUCUGGAAUGUAGUUCCGCCUGUUUUUUAUAAGAAAGUUUUACAUUCGCCAACAAACUACUAAGUAAUUUCACGAUUUUUACAACGUUGAACAUAAGCCUUCCCCAUAAGAGGAGUCAUGCCAG
rnacentral:lncRNA from 1 species